rnacentral:piRNA from 1 species
UAUUAUGUCCUCUGAUUAAAGUCAAUGGG